GAUGAACGCUGGCGGCGUGCCUAAUACAUGCAAGUCGAGCGAACGGACGAGAAGCUUGCUUUUCUGAUGUUAGCGGCGGACGGGUGAGUAACACGUGGAUAACCUACCUAUAAGACUGGGAUAACUUCGGGAAACCGGAGCUAAUACCGGAUAAUAUUUUGAACCGCAUGGUUCAAAAGUGAAAGACGGUCUUGCUGUCACUUAUAGAUGGAUUCGCGCUGCAUUAGCUAGUUGGUAAGGUAACGGCUUACCAAGGCAACGAUGCAUAGCCGACCUGAGAGGGUGAUCGGCCACACUGGAACUGAGACACGGUCCAGACUCCUACGGGAGGCAGCAGUAGGGAAUCUUCCGCAAUGGGCGAAAGCCUGACGGAGCAACGCCGCGUGAGUGAUGAAGGUCUUCGGGUCGUAAAACUCUGUUAUUAGGGAAGAACAUAUGUGUAAGUAACUGUGCACAUCUUGACGGUACCUAAUCAGAAAGCCACGGCUAACUACGUG
rnacentral:rRNA from 1 species